AUUGAACGCUGGCGGCAUGCCUUACACAUGCAAGUCGAACGGUAACGGGCCCUCGGGUGCCGACGAGUGGCGAACGGGUGAGUAAUGCAUCGGAACGUACCUUUCAGUGGGGGAUAACGUAGCGAAAGUUACGCUAAUACCGCAUAUUCUGUGAGCAGGAAAGCAGGGGAUCGCAAGACCUUGCGCUGAUUGAGCGGCCGAUGUCAGAUUAGCUAGGUGGUGAGGUAAGGGCUCACCAAGGCGACGAUCUGUAGCGGGUCUGAAAGGAUGAUUCGCCACACUGGAACUGAGACACGGUCCAGACUCCUACGGGAGGCAGCAGUGGGGAAUUUUUGACAAUGGGGGCAACCCUGAUCCAGCCAUGCCGCGUGAGUGAAGAAGGCCUUCGGGUUGUAAAGCUCUUUCGGUCGGGAAGAAAUCGCAUGGGUUAAUACCUGGUGCGGAUGACGGUACCGGCAUAAGAAGCACCGGCUAACUACGUGCCAGUCGCCGCCGUAAGAC
rnacentral:rRNA from 1 species